UAAGGGCGCACGGUGGAUGCCUUGGCACUAGAAGCCGAUGAAGGACGUUACUAACGACGAUAUGCUUUGGGGAGCUGUAAGUAAGCUUUGAUCCAGAGAUUUCCGAAUGGGGAAACCCAGCAUGAGUUAUGUCAUGUUAUCGAUAUGUGAAUACAUAGCAUAUCAGAAGGCACACCCGGAGAACUGAAACAUCUUAGUACCCGGAGGAAGAGAAAGAAAAUUCGAUUCCCUUAGUAGCGGCGAGCGAAACGGGAAGAGCCCAAACCAACAAGCUUGCUUGUUGGGGUUGUAGGACACUCUAUACGGAGUUACAAAGGACGACAUUAGACGAAUCAUCUGGAAAGAUGAAUCAAAGAAGGUAAUAAUCCUGUAGUCGAAAAUGUUGUCUCUCUUGAGUGGAUCCUGAGUACGACGGAGCACGUGAAAUUCCGUCGGAAUCUGGGAGGACCAUCUCCUAAGGCUAAAUACUCUCUAGUGACCGAUAGUGAACCAGUACCGUGAGGGAAAGGUGAAAAGCACCCCGGAAGGGGAGUGAAAUAGAACCUGAAACCGUGUGCUUACAAGUAGUCAGAGCCCGUUAAUGGGUGAUGGCGUGCCUUUUGUAGAAUGAACCGGCGAGUUACGAUUUGAUGCAAGGUUAAGCAGUAAAUGUGGAGCCGUAGCGAAAGCGAGUCUGAAUAGGGCGUUUAGUAUUUGGUCGUAGACCCGAAACCAGGUGAUCUACCCUUGGUCAGGUUGAAGUUCAGGUAACACUGAAUGGAGGACCGAACCGACUUACGUUGAAAAGUGAGCGGAUGAACUGAGGGUAGCGGAGAAAUUCCAAUCGAACCUGGAGAUAGCUGGUUCUCUCCGAAAUAGCUUUAGGGCUAGCCUCAAGUGAUGAUUAUUGGAGGUAGAGCACUGUUUGGACGAGGGGCCCCUCUCGGGUUACCGAAUUCAGACAAACUCCGAAUGCCAAUUAAUUUAACUUGGGAGUCAGAACAUGGGUGAUAAGGUCCGUGUUCGAAAGGGAAACAGCCCAGACCACCAGCUAAGGUCCCAAAAUAUAUGUUAAGUGGAAAAGGAUGUGGCGUUGCCCAGACAACUAGGAUGUUGGCUUAGAAGCAGCCAUCAUUUAAAGAGUGCGUAAUAGCUCACUAGUCGAGUGACACUGCGCCGAAAAUGUACCGGGGCUAAACAUAUUACCGAAGCUGUGGAUUGUCCUUUGGACAAUGGUAGGAGAGCGUUCUAAGGGCGUUGAAGCAUGAUCGUAAGGACAUGUGGAGCGCUUAGAAGUGAGAAUGCCGGUGUGAGUAGCGAAAGACGGGUGAGAAUCCCGUCCACCGAUUGACUAAGGUUUCCAGAGGAAGGCUCGUCCGCUCUGGGUUAGUCGGGUCCUAAGCUGAGGCCGACAGGCGUAGGCGAUGGAUAACAGGUUGAUAUUCCUGUACCACCUAUAAUCGUUUUAAUCGAUGGGGGGACGCAGUAGGAUAGGCGAAGCGUGCGAUUGGAUUGCACGUCUAA
rnacentral:rRNA from 1 species